UCUGAAAAGACGUUUAAAAACGUCUUUGGGAGUGAAUGACUUAAAGAAAAUAACCUAUGUUGUUGUUUUGAAUUUGUGUGCUGUGUUUCUUAGAGGUGAAGCUGAACACUAUUGAGUGUUCUGACAUGCCGCUGUCUUUUCCAUUUCUUUCACUAUUAUGCCCUUUGGCAGUGAUUUUCCAAAAUUACCGGUAGUCAUUAUGCCUUUUGAUACAAUAUGUGAACUAUAUUGAGAAAAUGUUACCUUUUUUCUCCAGUUUGCCUUAAUUUCCUCCUCUGUUGGUGUUCGUUGUUUCUUUGAGCUAUCUUUCCGACCUGCCUUCUUCCCAGAAGCUUUCGUCUCUCGAUGAGCCCUCUGCACAUCUCGCGCCUGUUCCUCUAUCAGUUUUAGCCUUUUGGUUUUGUCUUCCUUGA